rnacentral:rRNA from 1 species
AGUGAACGCUGGCGGUAGGCCUAACACAUGCAGGUCGAACGGCAGCACAGUAAGAGCUUGCUCUUACGGGUGGCGAGUGGCGGACGGGUGAGGAAUACAUCGGAAUCUACUUUUUCGUGGGGGAUAACGUAGGGAAACUUACGCUAAUACCGCAUACGACCUACGGGUGAAAGCAGGGGAUCUUCGGACCUUGCGCGAUUGAAUGAGCCGAUGUCGGAUUAGCUAGUUGGCGGGGUAAAGGCCCACCAAGGCGACGAUCCGUAGCUGGUCUGAGAGGAUGAUCAGCCACACUGGAACUGAGACACGGUCCAGACUCCUACGGGAGGCAGCAGUGGGGAAUAUUGGACAAUGGGCGCAAGCCUGAUCCAGCCAUACCGCGUGGGUGAAGAGGGCCUUCGGGUUGUAAAGCCCUUUUGUUGGGAAAGAAAAGCAGCAGGUUAAUACCCCGCUGUUCUGACGGUACCCAAAGAAUAAGCACCGGCUAACUUCGUG